rnacentral:rRNA from 1 species
AUUGAACGCUGGCGGCAGGCCUAACACAUGCAAGUCGAACGGUAACAGGAAGAAGCUUGCUUCUUUGCUGACGAGUGGCGGACGGGUGAGUAAUGUCUGGGAAACUGCCUGAUGGAGGGGGAUAACUACUGGAAACGGUAGCUAAUACCGCAUAACGUCGCAAGACCAAAAAGGGGGACCUUCGGGCCUCUUGCCAUCGGAUGUGCCCAGAUGGGAUUAGCUAGUAGGUGGGGUAACGGCUCACCUAGGCGACGAUCCCUAGCUGGUCUGAGAGGAUGACCAGCCACACUGGAACUGAGACACGGUCCAGACUCCUACGGGAGGCAGCAGUGGGGAAUAUUGCACAAUGGGCGCAAGCCUGAUGCAGCCAUGCCGCGUGUAUGAAGAAGGCCUUCGGGUUGUAAAGUACUUUCAGCGGGGAGGAAGGGAGUGAAGUUAAUACCUUUGCUCAUUGACGUUACCCGCAGAAGAAGCACCGGCUAACUCCGUG